GCAGCCGUGCUGAUGGCGCACAGAUGUGUGGUCUGUAGCACCCAGAUUCAUGAGCAUCAGAACAUGGUGUGGACAUGCUUCCUGACCAGAGUCCUUGCUAUGUCCAGCUGCUUCAUCCAAGGCUUCUCUGUGAAGCUUUCCAGGAUUUAGAGGACAUCUUUGGUUGAUUGAAGCCAUCUAUGAGCAAUGUUUUCCCCAGUCUGGCUUUAAAGGCAGCACCGUUGUAAUGGCAUCGAUUGGAAGCAGCUCUCUCUUUCCCUGAACUUACCCAGCGUUUUAUUUGGAGGUGGCCUUGGACUGUUAAUCUAUGGCCUUGGAGGCAACCUUGAAGGAACUCCACCCACCCGUCCCACGUGUCCAAACGGAGAAUGGUGCCUGCAGCAAACACAAUUGGAUGCAUUAUAAAGUAAUUCAGCACUGUAGAAACCGAGACAUGAUGCCAUUUCCAGCCUUUUUAGUGAAAUAAUUACACAUAUUAUUAAAUUGUUCACAAAUAUUUUAGAUAAUUAGCUACAGGCCCAUGAUGAAAACAAACAUAAAUCCUAGUAGAGCUGCACAGAAAGAAAGGUAGCCGUACCCAUUUUAAUGGCGUAGUCCUGCAGCCAGUUGCAGUCAUAGAGUUGCACAUUAGCAGGUGUUCUGAGCCUGAACGUGCUGACUGGUAUCCCACACUGAACAGAUAUCAGGGUCGUCAGUUUGUCCACAGACGUAUGAAGAAGAGACUCAGUUCCUUCUAUUGGUGAAGUUUCUCCUGUCACAGUAUUAAACACGCACAUCACAGGCCUUUGUUCAGUCUGAGAAGUAAUCAGAAUGACACAGAGACAAGUAAGGAAACAGUGUUACAGCAUCAAAGAUCAGCAGUGAUGAAAGAGAUAUUUUGAUCUUUUACCCAGGUAAAAACAGAAAUACUACAAAUAUUACACCAAACACACUUCAAACCUUUCUUGAAUGAAAAUAUGUCAGAAUUACAAAGACAGUGUAUUUAAAAUAUGAAAGUGAAAAUAUUGCAUAUCAAAAUGGGCUCUGCCGCUGUUCUAUUUUUAUAUGUCAUGCUAUAGUCAUAUGUUACACGGAUGCAGUAAGAAGUAUCAAAGCUGCCUGAAGUAGCACUGAUUUUACAAAUUUUGUGUACAAAAAGGGGGCUAAAUUCAUUGUAUAUUUUGGUAUAUUUUAUAUAGGUCACUAUAUGGUUACAGGUUUUUAAAAGUCCUAAUCAAAAAAAUAUGACCAUGUGAAAUUGAAAUACUUAAGUACCUUAGAAUUGCACUUAAGUGAAGUACUUAAAUACAUUUACUUAGUUACUUUACCCCACUGAGGUUCAAUAUUUACUUCAAAAGGUAUGACUGGCAGUAUAAUUCAGACCUACAUUAGUCAAACUCUCAUUUCCAUUACAUUUUGAGCAUAUUAAAUUGUACUUCAUUUGUUUUCAAGCACAAUUUAAGGAUUAGAUGACCACUACAUACCGAGCAUAGACAUAUAACUCACAAUAUAAUAAUAGAAAUAACAGCUUGCAAUUAAUAAUUUAUUACCAAGCAAGAUAUUUUAAAGCACAGACUACUCACGUCUGUAAUUCAAAGUCAGUUGUUAUUUUUUAAAUCUAAUUAUAUGGUCAGUAUCGACCUCUUUUUUUAAAGCUCAUAUCUAACAAAAGUUGAACACAAGGAGGAAUUGCCAAACAAUAUAUCACUGUAAUAGUUAUCAUGUAAUGAUCGAGUUUGCUGCCACUCUAGUGGACAUUUUAUAUAAUCACAGAUUUACUUACAAAUAUUUUUUAAUUAAAUAGAUGCGAUUGUCAUUACUGAUCCGUCUAUGACUUUUAGAAUCACCCUUUCCAAUGAGAAAAUGUAUCUUUGAGUGAACAAAAGAAGUGAAACAUCACAGCAAAGUAAAACAGAGAAGGGCAUGCAGAAGUAUAGAGAGUGAAAUUUGACUGAAACAUCAUGCAAAACAAAUAUUUUUAUGAGAGGGUGUAACAUGAAGAAAGCUAAACAUAUUCACAUAUCCUUUGUAAAAAGGUGAUGAGCUCGGAGGAUCUUGUUUCACGUUGUUACAGGGAUUUGACAUAAAAUCUGGACACUGUAAAACAGAUGUCUUUGAUUAGAAAUAAUCCCUAGUACUGAAUAUGUAUGCAGGAAGAUACUAAUUUUAGCAUCUCUAAAGUAAAAGGAUUAAGAAUAGUGUGUUUUUGAAGUAUGCUGUCAGUGAGUUCGGAGCUUGCAGAUGCCUGAAUGUAUAGUUCCAGUAAAAAAAGACUCCUGUGACAGUAAGCAUAAGCUCUGCUGAACUGUUGUUUAGUAAGAUUCUAAAUAUUCAGCAGUUCCAGGAAUCAAAGUUAUAUUUAAUCUCCUUGAACAUUUAUGUAAGUGAAAAAUUUAUUUGGAUCUCAGAAAAAGAAGAAGUAAGUCUGAAGAAGGUUUUUGAAGUAUCUGAAAAUUAUGGAAACAUUAGCAAUAAAGUUUUCCAUAUUUCUAUAUACAACAGUAUUCUGAAUUUAAACAUGUACUCUUUGUUUUGUUUUUAUGCAAAAUGUUUUUAUUGUCAGUACUCCUCUGUAAUAAUUUAAAUAAAACAUAGAAACGGUGAAGUGAAGCAUUAGUGCAGGAAUUAAAUGUGCAUCUCUGUGUGACAGUUAAGCUGAUUGUGUUUAAAGCAAAUCCCGAUGCAGCUAAAAAAAUCUAAAUCCUUUUAUAUUUUAAUACCUUUAUGAAGCAUUGGAUGACACUGCCACUUGUGAUGGCCACAUCACUCAGAGCCCAGCUGUCGUGCAGCGCUGCGCCUCCAUAACUUAGCUCCAAGUAUUGUCUGACCUGCUGGUUAUCAGACAGCUGCACAAGAAAGUUGCUCUGCAGAAAAGAGUGGAAAUUUAGGGAGGCAUGGGACAGUACAGACCAAGGAACAAAAACUUAUUGGUUCAUUUUCAGUGUCUGCAGAUGCAUAUGCCAUACUGCCAGUAUCAUAUUCAGAGUAUUGACACUGAAAUGCAAAUGGAAAAUGUAGUGCACUGUAUAUGACACAUUACAAGCAACUUUAAACGAAAGAUAUAAUAAAUCCAUCAAUCAUCUAUCCAUCCAUCCAUUCUAUACAUAUAGGAUCAGCUGACUUAGGGCGAAGGCAGAGUUUACCCUGGACAGGUCACCGUUUCAUCACAGGGCUACACAUAGAGACAAACAACCAAGCACACUCAUGUGCACAUUCACAAUUCAGAAUCAACAAUUAACCUCAGCAUGUCUUUAGCCUGUGGGAGGAAGCCGAAAAACCUGGUGACAACAUGCAAACUCCACACAGAAACACCCCAGGCUGAGAUUCAAACCCAAGACCUUCUGGUUGCACUACUGCACCACUGUGCUGCUCUCCAUCAAUCAUUUCCCCUCCAUUAAGACAUCCAAAUUAUCAGGCAGAUAAUCAAAUGCAAGUCAGAAUUUGUCAAAAAUUUGUUAACAGAGGAGGCCCUGAGCUACAACUUUUACGUUUAUUACCUUCACCAUCUGCUUCAAGGCCAUCACAGUCUGAUAAGGGGGGACGUCCAAAGGCUCAGUGAAGCCCUCAUAGCAGACAAAGACCCUCAUAGUCGUUGCAUUUGUCCUCCUCUGUGCUGCUCUGGUGGACGCAGGAGUGUGUGAGGUUAGUUUGUUGGAGGCAGAAUCAGUGUAGGAGGGGAGGGUUUGAGAAAGCAUAUGACUCUGCAAAGUAGGAUUUGGACAGGUCGCCAAAAGAUGAUGCUUUUAAACAUAAAUUUCUUCAAUGAUCAUUUUUUUAUAUUUGCCAGUAGUAGAGAAGUUAAUUCAACUUUUCUUAUGGCUUUAAUUGGGUGAUAUGGAGUUUUGAAAGCUAUUAUAUAUAUACAUAUAUUACUUUUUAUGACUGAAAAUUCCUUAUGUUUGCAGCACUAGCUAUUUAUUUGACUUGUAACAUGCAUGGGUUAUGGUUAUUAUUGCCACAUUUAUUUUCUUUUUAGAUCCUUCUUUAAAACAUUCUCCACUUUUUUACUGUAAUGCACCAAAUCACGACAUCAGAUUCUUUGGAUGUGGAUCUAUUAUCUACUUGACUAUAAAACUGAUUCUAUAUUAACAAAUCUGAGAUGGCUUUCAUGAGGCAAUGAAAAAACUAUAUUACAAAACAAUAAUACAACAAAAUUAUAUUUGCUCAUAUAUAUGGAGUAAAUUGUAAACCGCUCAGGAAAUCAACACCAGAAACCACAGGUUGCAUGUGACAGUUGUCAGCAGCUGCGUCAUAAAACUGGAGUUGGAUUUUUCAUUGUACCUGUUCACCUGACUUGCUUCUGGUUUUACAGCAGCAAUAAGAGUUUCCCACAGAUGACUCUUAGUCACAAAGUUCAGACGUAGUGACAGAUUUGGCUUCUGAGGAAAAUACUACAGCACAACUACAGUGUACAUCAGCGCAACUGACUGACUUAAGAAACAGUGCAGAAUCUUGUGUUUCUAGUUAUUCAUUCUGAUCUAACGUUACUGUGUAAAGUGAGCUGGAUUCAUCAUUUUGAGUUGUGUUGUUUCUGUUUUAAUCUGUUCUGUUCCACUGCAGUACAUGUGAAUACAGUAGCUGCAAAGAGACUAUCACAAGACAAAAGUUACUAUAAGUGUAUAGAGUUUUAUGUGUGAGUCCACAUGGAAACACGGGCCCGACCCCAACACUCUUACGUCAGCUCCUCGUUCUGCCUUUUAUUUAGAAACAAAAGGGCUGCCCUGUGGUUUCACACUGUUCUGAAGGUUACAGUAAUUUGAAAUGUUUUUGAGAGUUUUAUAGUUCUACUAUAAGGUUUUUACAGUGGCUGCUUAUUUGCAUUUGACCUUUUAAAGUCUAGAGCAGUCCCAGACGUUUUUGUGUUCAGUGUUGACUUGAAGAAAACAGUGAUUCCGUUUGUUAAGGUUCCAAACCUGUAAAUUGUGAUUAUUUCUGUUUUAGUGCACAAAAUCAGAACAUACACUGAAUAUGAAUGAAUAAAUUUUGUUCAGUCCAUGAAGGGAGAAUAAAAGGUUGUUCAAAAUCUCAGCUGAGUGUCCAUCAUACGGCCAACGCAGAGACACAAUCAUUCACCGUUAUCCCCAAGGACAGUGUUUAAUGUGGAGGGUACACUGUUUUUCCUUAAUUUUUAUUUUCGUUACAGGU